AAAUCUGGCACCUUCGGUGUCCGAGUUGUAAUUUGAAGAUUGUAACCUUGGGGUUGGCUCUUGUCUAUGUUUCUUGGAACAGGACGUCACAGAGGGUGAGAAUCCCGUGCGAUGAGAUGCCCAAUCCUAUGUAAGGUGCUUUCGAAGAGUCGAGUUGUUUGGGAAUGCAGCUCUAAGUGGGUGGUAAAUUCCAUCUAAAGCUAAAUAUUGGCGAGAGACCGAUAGCGAACAAGUACAGUGAUGGAAAGAUGAAAAGAACUUUGAAAAGAGAGUGAAAAAGUACGUGAAAUUGUUGAAAGGGAAGGGUUUGAGAUCAGACUCGAUAUUUUGUGAGCCUUGCCUUCGUGGCGGGGUGACCCGCAGCUUAUCGGGCCAGCAUCGGUUUGGGCGGUAGGAUAAUGGCGUAGGAAUGUGACUUUGCUUCGGUGAAGUGUUAUAGCCUGCGUUGAUGCUGCCUGCCUAGACCGAGGACUGCGAUUUUAUCAAGGAUGCUGGCAUAAUGAUCCCAAACCGCCCGUCUG
rnacentral:rRNA from 1 species